AGGCACAACACCUCGCUAUCCUUCUCUAAGAAAUGUUGUUCAAGAAUUGCCACUGAAGAGAGAUUGAAAGAUAUGUUGUUCAUGGAAGCAACGAAUUUUGUCCUCUUAUUAGGUCCUUCACAUGUUUGGUUUCUAGGACACAAAAUGCUCCCGAGACCUAUCAUGAAGAAGAAACUCCUGUAACUUUCCGAGGCACAUUAACAGGGUUUAACAGGAUAGAUUAUAGAAGGAUUAUCAUCUGUUGCUGCCUUUCUUGUCUACUAUUUCCUUCCAGCUUAAAUUAUCAGUUAGGCACCGUUGGCCUGGAGAAGAGAAUUAGCCAUGGAACCAACUUGUGGUGCUCGUGCCAUGGAAUGGAGCAUUCAACUUGAAAUGGGCCUCCGUUCUGCAAAACCUGGUUAUUUAAUUAUUUUCUUUCAUCCUU